rnacentral:rRNA from 1 species
CCCAGACUCCUACGGGAGGCAGCAGUGGGGGAUAUUGCACAAUGGGGGGAACCCUGAUGCAGCGACGCCGCGUGGGUGAAGGAGCGUUUCGGCGCGUAAAGCCCUAUCGGCAGGGAAGAAGGAGGACGGUACCUGACUAAGAAGCCCCGGCUAACUACGUGCCAGCAGCCGCGGUAAUACGUAGGGGGCAAGCGUUAUCCGGAUUUACUGGGUGUAAAGGGGGCGCAGACGGCAGCGCAAGCCAGGAGUGAAAGCCCGGGGCCCAACCCCGGGACUGCUCUUGGAACUGCGCGGCUGGAGUGCAGGAGGGGCAGGCGGAAUUCCUGGUGUAGCGGUGAAAUGCGUAGAUAUCAGGAGGAACACCGGUGGCGAAGGCGGCCUGCUGGACUGCGACUGACGUUGAGGCCCGAAAGCGUGGGGAGCAAACAGGAUUAGAUACCCCAGUAACC